CUGAAGAAAGCUUUUGACACAGUUAAUUGCAGCAUAUUAACAAACUUCAACACCAAAGCUCCUCUGAUGCAGCUCUCACAGGGUUUCAAAGCUGCUGCACAGGAGGAGGGAGGGGACAGCAAUUGCUGUGUGUGGGGACGUUCAUGUCUCUAGGUCCUUUACCAUCAUGGAGAUACUGCAUCGUAUCUGGACCUCCAGCCAGGGUGGUGGUCUGGGGUGCCGGGAGGGGAUGGAGCUACAGCGAGCUGGGGUUGGGCAUCCUCCACACAGCCAAGCCCACACUUGCAUUAACUUGCAGCCCUGAGAAGGGGUUUCUAACUAUGAUUUGGUUCUGUGAAUUCUGAAGGAUAGGAAAACUUGCGUUAGAGCAACCCAUCUGCAAAGUGCUUGCCCAGCUGUGGGGGCUGCCAGGCUCCUGCUGCCCCAUGUCCCAGCUUGAUUGCACGCACAUUUGCAUCCGUCAUGCUCCUGCAGUUCUGUGCUCCUGCAGAAACCUGAACCAAGGGAAAACGGGACAGCGGAUGAUAGCAAAGUCACCACAGCCCCAGUGCAUGGUGAGAGCAGGUCAUGGAAAUCGGGUCAGCUUCUUCUGGUGUAAAUCAGCACUCCUUUGCUGAAGCCAGUGGAGUUAAAAAAGUGCAAGAAAGACCAAAAUUAGGUCAAUCAGAUACACAGCUCCUUUUAUGCAGCAAUCUAACCCUCUUCAUCCUUCCUGCUACUCCUCUGCACAGCCAAGUAGGUCAGAACUAUCUCCUGUCAGGCAGCUGGAUCCACUGAGGUAGCUCUGAAAUAUUCUCCAAAUCAGCAGGGUAUCAGUAAAAGGCAUCCCUGUCCCCUCCUCCCACCACAGUCUCUCCAGUUGCCCAUCUGAGCACUGGUCGGAGGGGGAAAUGGGAUCUCAGGUGUGGGCUGAUGAAGGGUGGGGAACUAAAGUACUCUCCAAAAAGCUCAGUCUGGGCUGAACUAGAGGUUAACCUCAUUUCUAAAUAUCCCAUUAGUUGCACUUGCCAUUUGUGCAGGGUUUUGCAUGGGCUGUGCUUGCAAGGGACAUCACAGACACAGCAAGGAGCUGCUCUGGUGGCUCCCAGCAGCCCCUGCAGCAUAGUCCCCAGGCAGCAGCACAUGUUAGUGCAGAGGCCUGCAGCCUCCCAGUGUUGCUGAUACUGGGGUGAGUUUUCUUUCCCCAAAUCAGUGCUAGGCCGGUUGGCACAGACUUGUCCCCCACAACUGGGGCAAUGGCUCCUCUAUUUCUCUGCAGAGCCCUCUUAUACACAAACUUACAUAGAAGUUUUACUUGCCUUGAACCAUUGAGACCAAAACAACCACUUAACUCCCACUGGAAAAGAAGCAUAAUUGAAACAAACUGGAAACAAAAUUAUUAGUGAAGCUAUUUUCAUUCACCAGGAGCUGUGCCAAAAGGUAAUUCUGAAGCCGGAGAAACUCUGCAGAGGACCGUGCUGGAGUCAGUGGAGCAGCACAGGAAGCACUAACAUGGAAUUACAUGGACCCGUUUUACUAGUGAUGACUACUGACCGUCUAUGAUGACUGCACCCAUGAUGUAUAUCCACACCACGACCAAGCAUACGUUCUGCCAGGCCGGCGGCAGGCUGGGAAGAGGGUGGAUACCGAGUGAUAUAGCAAACUCGACCUUUUUCUGGGUAACUCACACUGAGUCAUCAGUGCAUGGAACUGAAAAUUGCAGCCACCGAUCAGCCACGUGAAACAUACAGAAAUGGAAAUAUGAACGGAGGGAGCACAGUCAGGGCUCCAUCAGGCUCUCGACACAACAAGGAGCAGCUGCAAGCAGCAGAGGAAUGAGCUGGUAUUUUGCUUUGUCCUCCUCUGGCCCAGAUCAUGGACCAUUGCCACACAGCCUGAUGUGUCCUGGACCAUGCAAAAAGCUAAGAAAAGCAAAACCCAAUUAAUUUCAAAAGGAGGUUGUUUUUAUGACAUACUGUACUUUGGUGUGGUUAUUCCAUCUACGGUGUAAUUUGUCCAGAUAAAACCUGUCUAGAAAUGACCUUACAGUCUGGGUAUGAUGCUGAUAGAGGAUACAUUCUGACAGGCUUAUGCUCCCACCGUGUCAAACAGCAAUGCUUGGCCAAGGAUCAGCUCCACAGAUGGAGCAGGCAAGUGCCCCUGCCCACUUUGCAGGUCUGAUCCUGCUCUGGAUGCAUGCUCAUGAGAAGGUGAAAUCAGUCCCUCCAAGGAGAACACAAGGAUAAUCCCUGGCUGUGAUGGCACCGCACCUCUGGCAGCAAUGCCAAACCUGCCAAUGGUUUGUCAGAAGAGAUCAGUGUCUGCCAGAGCACAGAGAGGACUUUCAUCCUCCGUUUGGAGGUUCUCACUACCUUAAUGCUGAAAAAUUUAUCCAGGCAAGACCAGAUUACCUCCAGGAGCAAACAGUGUUGGCAAUUUCACGGGGACCAGGCCAGCUUCUAGCAGUUGACAAUCUGUCUGUAGAGUCAGUCAAUGGAAAAGUUUUUGGAGCAUAUUAGUAAUUGAAAUUAGCGCUGAGGAGGAUAUUCAUCUUCGUAUGGAUGGACCUUGGCAGUGUGAAGUGGGUCUUAGAAGGAGUGUCCGUGUGGCACCUGUAAGAGACUUUUAGUCAAUACUUAAAGCUUUCACCAUAAAAGGUAGUUCCUAGCGUGGCAAAAGCUGGCAGUUCAAGCAGAGAAGGGCUGCAGCCCUCAGGUGUCCGUCUGAGCUGGAAUUACCAUACAGACACUUAAAUAAAAAUGAGACCAGUGCUCAAACCUGACA